CGAGUUGGCUGGGCGGUCGCGGCUCAACGGAACCACAGCGUUCCGGUGGGUCGAGGAAAGUCCGGACUUCACAGAGCAGGGUGAUUGCUAACGGCAAUCCGAGGUGACUCGCGGGACAGUGCCACAGAGAACAGACCGCCUCCGGUUCCGGAUUUUCGGGGCCGGCGGUAAGGGUGAAACGGUGCGGUAAGAGCGCACCAGCACCCCGGGUGACCGGGGUGGCUAGGUAAACCCCACCCGAAGCAAGGCCAAGAGGCCGCAUCCGUGCGGCUGCGCAGGCGCCCGAGGGCUGCUCGCCCGAGUCUGCGGGUAGGCCGCUUGAGGUACCCGGCGACGGUGUGCCCAGAUGGAUGGUCGCCGCCGCUGCGCCCGGCGCAGCGGAACAGGAUCCGGCUUACAGGCCAGCUCGUCCG
rnacentral:RNase_P_RNA from 1 species